GAUUCUUCCAAAUAAUAUCGAUUUGUUGAAUCCACUAGCAGAGCUCGAGAAGAGGAAGCACAAGCUAAAGCGUCUGGUCCAGUCCCCUAAUUCCUUCUUCAUGGAUGUCAAAUGCCAAGGCUGUUUCAACAUGUGAGCAAGCAGAACGUCACGUUUAAAGUAAACUGGGCGUCUACCCUUUUGAAGCCUUUUGGAAAGUGCCUCCGUAAAGGGGCGAGCUUGGACUUGAGAGGAGUUAAGCAUUGUCAACCCAACUUUUGUCUUGUUUUGUUCUUGUUUCUUUGGAUAAUUUUGCAACUUGUAUGAAUGAUGUAGGGUGAGGAGUCUAACUUUUGACUAUUGUAUAUAAGUUUUAUGAAGUUAAAGUUGGUUUUUACUACUUAUGAUUUCGGCAUGUA